rnacentral:rRNA from 1 species
AUGAUGGAAAGUAUAACGGCAUACAAAAACCAACGUGGACAACCCAAAUCUGAACAAUCUGACAUUCCAGUGUCUGCUAAUGACAUGUGUUCCCUUGCUGAAUGGCCAUCCCAUGCUCGCUGCAACCGUGCGCGACUACAGGAUGAAGCUGGUGGACAGAAGAAGAAAGGGCGAGGUGUUCUAAAAGGUUUUAAAGCAUCUAAGAAGCGUUUUGCCAAUGGAUCUGCAAAGCUAAAUAUUACAUUCUCUGGAAAAUUGGGUGGUACAGUAGGAAUGAACUAUCGUUUGUUCAAGGAUGACGUGGUAGUAAUAAUGAAAAGAAAGUUACCACUCAUUGGAGUGAGGACGUGGUCGGACAUUCACCCUACCAUUCAUCGACUCAUUGUUGCAGAUAUAAUAGACAGGUGGGACCUGGAAGAUACACCAGAAACAGAAGAAAAAGUUCUCAAAAUUGCAAAAGAGAGAUAUAGAGGCUGUCGAUCAACUCUAAGCUCCACUUACAAGGCAUACAAAACGGAUGCAGCUAGAUUGGCUAAUCUGCCUGAAGAUUUACAUCCAGAUGAGUGGGAAUGGAUGAUUGAGUACUUUGGCACUGAUUCAAAAUUUCAGGAACGCAGCCAAAAGAACGCUGAUAACCAUAAGAAACAGAAGACAAAACAUAUAAUCGGAUCAAAAUCUUACUCGCAAGUUAGUUUUGAGAAGAGAAACUUAGAAACUGGAGAAGAGCCAGAUUGUAUUGCUAUAUGGGAACUCACCCACACAAACAAUGGAACAUGGUCUAACACACAUUCCCAGAAAGUUUAA